rnacentral:lncRNA from 1 species
GUUACCACAUGGUUAUACUGAACAGGGUGUUCCUAGCAAUGCCCUUACACCUUGCUGAGAUGGCAGAUUCUAACCAGGAUGGGAUUGGAAGCUGCAGAAUUGGGGCAAAAUUUAGAAGUUCGGGAUCCGAUUGAAAAUAAUGUUACAAUGUCAAAUUAGUUCUAGACCUUGCUAAAUUUCACCCCCCCAAAACCCCGCAGUCAAAAUGGACAUUCUUUCCCACAUUUCAUAAAAGACAAAAAGGAGUGGGCCGGGAGGGAAGAAUUUAACUUCUUUGUUUCGGUUCCUAAAGCGUUAGAACGUUGGCCCUCACGCAGACUUGAGCCAUUCUGCUGCUGGGUGAGACCAAAUCUGGAUGUGUCUCUACAGGUCCAGAGCCUCAACUUUCUUGAUUUUGUUCCUCUUUUCAAGGUUGACCCCACUCCCCACUCCACCCCUUCCUUAAAGGCAGCCGGGAGGGAGAGGAAGCACUAAGUUAAAAGCAGCGGAGAGUCUGUUCACAGUACAGUUUUAUUUAAUUUCACAAUAUAGGCAUUGUAGCUCUGUGCACUGCCGGCUGCUCUGCGGGCCUGUCUGCGGCUUCGGACCCACGCUCAGGACAUACACCGGCCAGUAUCCCGGCUCUCGGAGCAGCAAACUUUUGCUGGUGUUGUGAGGGAGUUCUCACACUAGGGCCUCCAGCUUUGUCCUAAGGCCAGCGGGCUGGACGCUAUUGCCUCUCAAAAUCCACCGACAAAUCCAGCCGUGGAGAAACAGCCCCACGGCAUCAAACUCUUCCAGCAGUGCGCUUCCCGCUGAGACACGUAGGAAGAAUGACCCUUUACUUGUAUUCAUGGGGAGGAAUCUGACCACGCCGUGAGGAGGGACAAGUGACGUGCUGAGGAAUGAGUGUGACCGCUGCGCACAUACCAACUCAGCACCAAAGGGAAGAAUCAGAUGCCUGCACUUUGCACUGCUGUGGAAAAUCUGACUGGGUUUUAAAUGUUUUCAAGGCAUUUGCAUGUACUCUGCUAUCUCCAAAAUCAAGAAACAUGUGUUCAUCCAUCUGCUUAAAAUCUCCUCCUUUUAAAAA